UUGAACGCUGGCGGCAGGCCUAACACAUGCAAGUCGAACGGUAACAGGAAGCAGCUUGCUGCUUUGCUGACGAGUGGCGGACGGGUGAGUAAUGUCUGGGAAACUGCCUGAUGGAGGGGGAUAACUACUGGAAACGGUAGCUAAUACCGCAUAACGUCGCAAGACCAAAGAGGGGGACCUUCGGGCCUCUUGCCAUCGGAUGUGCCCAGAUGGGAUUAGCUUGUUGGUGGGGUAACGGCUCACCAAGGCGACGAUCCCUAGCUGGUCUGAGAGGAUGACCAGCCACACUGGAACUGAGACACGGUCCAGACUCCUACGGGAGGCAGCAGUGGGGAAUAUUGCACAAUGGGCGCAAGCCUGAUGCAGCCAUGCCGCGUGUAUGAAGAAGGCCUUCGGGUUGUAAAGUACUUUCAGCGGGGAGGAAGGGAGUAAAGUUAAUACCUUUACUCAUUGACGUUACCCGCAGAAGAAGCACCGGCUAACUCCGUGCCAGCAGCCGCGGUAAUACGGAGGGUGCAAGCGUUAAUCGGAAUUACUGGGCGUAAAGCGCACGCAGGCGGUUUGUUAAGUCAGAUGUGAAAUCCCCGGGCUCAACCUGGGAACUGCAUCUGAUACUGGCAAGCUUGAGUCUCGUAGAGGGGGGUAGAAUUCCAGGUGUAGCGGUGAAAUGCGUAGAGAUCUGGAGGAAUACCGGUGGCGAAGGCGGCCCCCUGGACGAAGACUGACGCUCAGGUGCGAAAGCGUGGGGAGCAAACAGGAUUAGAUACCCUGGUAGUCCACGCCGUAAACGAUGUCGACUUGGAGGUUGUGCCCUUGAGGCGUGGCUUCCGGAGCUAACGCGUUAAGUCGACCGCCUGGGGAGUACGGCCGCAAGGUUAAAACUCAAAUGAAUUGACGGGGGCCCGCACAAGCGGUGGAGCAUGUGGUUUAAUUCGAUGCAACGCGAAGAACCUUACCUGGUCUUGACAUCCCUCUGACAGCUGAGUAAUGUCGGUUUUCUUUCGGGACAGAGGAGACAGGUGGUGCAUGGUUGUCGUCAGCUCGUGUCGUGAGAUGUUGGGUUAAGUCCCGCAACGAGCGCAACCCUUAUUGCCAGUUACUACGUUAAGAGGACUCUGGCGAGACUGCCGUUGACAAAACGGAGGAAGGUGGGGAUGACGUCAAAUCAUCAUGCCCUUUAUGUCUUGGGCUACACACGUACUACAAUGGGUGUAACAGAGGGAAGCAACACAGCGAUGUGAAGCGAAACCCAAAAAGCACCCCCAGUUCGGAUUGAAGGCUGAAAUUCGCCUUCAUGAAGCCGGAAUUGCUAGUAAUGGCAGGUCAGCAUACUGCCGUGAAUACGUUCCCGGGCCUUGUACACACCGCCCGUCACACCAUGAGAGUUGGGGAUACCCGAAGCCUGUGAGCCAACAGUUAAAUGAGGCAGCAGUCGAAGGUAGAAUCAAUGAUUGGGGUG
rnacentral:rRNA from 1 species